rnacentral:lncRNA from 1 species
AAGAGAUUGAGAGAUGAAGAAACAUGAGUUCUGAUAUUAUUGUCCAAGCUUCCAUCAAUGGAAUCAGAGUAUUAGGUGUAGAGAAUGAUGAGAGUAAGAGAUGGAAGAAUAUUGUAUUGACUCUCAUAAGAAUAAUGGUUAGAGUUACAUAUAUAUUUAUACUAGAGAUGUUUCCUAAACUAGAUAGAUACAAAUAUAUAUGAGUAUCUUAUAUAAUAAAUAUACAAUAUUAACAAUAAUGUUUAUGAUCUCCUUGAUCCUUCUAUACGCCCCCUCAAUCUCAAGGUGGUAAUGGAUUUGUAGCGGAAUUAGCUUGAGAUUGACUCAGUAAUAAUGCCGUUAUCGUAUUUGGAUCAGCAGGAGAAGACGGUGGUGUUGGUUGUGAGGAGGUGAAUGGACAGAGAUGAUAAUGAUGUGCCUCCUUUGGUGGUUGUGUUCUCGUUGACUAUGUGUAGCGUCAACACUUACAUGAGGGAGUGUUGCUUGUUGGAGAUGAAGCACCUUGGCUUGGAAACAGAAAAUAGAAGGUCGAAGGCUUAUAGAUUCAGAGGCACGUUUGAUGAGCUUGAAUGAUGAUAGGAAGCACUUUGGCUUGAUAACAAACCCAUUUUUUUAAUGUUUUUUUUUGUCUUUUUUUUUCUCUUUAAUACGUAAGAAAUAUAUAACAAAUAUUUUUUUUUUUUCAAAAAUAAGAAAUCGAUUCAGAGGUCUUUGGAGACAUGAAUAAUAAGAAGCUCCAUGGCUUUAAGAAAAACAAAACAAGAAGCAUUAAGCUUUGAUUUUGGAAGUGAAGCCACAAUGGCUUAAGAAUUAUAAAGAUAAAAAUGAGGCAUGAAUAUAAAAAAACACUAGGCUUGGAUUCAGAGGUCUAUGGUAGACUUGAAUAACAAAAAGCUCAAUGGCUUAGAUUCAGAGGUUCACAUGAACAUGAAUGGUGGAAGCAUAUAGCUUAACAGAAAAUAUAAUAGAAGCUCAAUGGCUUGAAAUCAAAAAAUAAAUAAGCUCUGUAGCUUGAAGAAAAUAAAAGAAAAACAGGAACAUAGCAGAUCGUUAGAUCAUUGUAGCUCUGAUACCAUAUUGAUAAUAUGAUGAGAGUAGAUGAUUGGAAGAAUUGUA